rnacentral:tRNA from 1 species
GGGGCCGUAGUCUAGGCAGGCAUGACGACGGGCUCCAGACCCGUAGGUCGUCGGUUCAAAUCCGGCCGGCCCCACCA